rnacentral:rRNA from 1 species
GUGCCAGCAGCCGCGGUAAGACGUAGGGGGCCAGCGUUGCUCGGAAUUACUGGGUGUAAAGGGUUCGUAGGCGGUGUGGCAAGUCGGGAGUGAAAUCUCUGGGCUCAACCCAGAGCCGGCUUCCAAAACUGCUGUACUUGAGUGUGAGAGAGGCUCGUGGAAUUGCAGGUGUAGCGGUGAAAUGCGUAGAUAUCUGCAGGAACACCCGUGGCGAAAGAGGCGAGCUGGAUCACUACUGACGCUGAAGAACGAAAGCUAGGGGAGCAAACAGGAUUAGAUACCCUAGUAGUCC